rnacentral:lncRNA from 1 species
GGGAGCAGGGGCCAGCCUGCAGGGACAGGCCCGUCCUCGCCCCCAGGCCCAGCGACUCGCGUGCCCACGCACACCCGCCAGGCGUGCGUGUCUGCCUGGCCUCCUCUCCACGCCCCUCCCAAGGGGAGCGGAGGCUACACUGCGCUCCCUGGGGACUUGGGGUUCUUAUGGGUCCCUAAGGGCUGCCACAGGGCAGGCUGGGGGCAAGAGGAGAAUGGCUCCCCAGCUUCUCCUGGCCCCUCCAUGACACUGAAAUUUGAGACGAACCUUUUGGAGAAGGAAGUCUGCGACCAAACUCUGUGCAGGCCACCAGGCAGGCUCCUCGGGGCUGGGAAGAGACGGGUGAUGAAGUGACACUGGCCUAGCACUGGGGUUUGCUGUGUGGCAGCGCUUGGCCCAGUGUGCCUGAGCCCUGGGUUCCGUCCACAGCACUGCAGAACAGGCCCAGGGACCCCCGGAGGUGCCCUGCUCCUAGGUGUCAAGGGACGCCAGGGCUCAGCCCCCAGGGAGCUGUGUACAUGUUGUCCCACUCCCCACCCCUCCCUAGGGGACAGUUGUGCAUUUCUCCCCAGCUACAAUGAGGAAACUGAGCAAGGCAAAAAAGUCACCUACUAGGGUCACAGCACGGAAGGAGAGAGCCCAGAUCCACCCCACUCCUGCCUCAGGAGACAGCAGCUUGUGGCCUUUGGCAGGUCACACUUGCCUCUGUCACAUGCAUGGGCAACAGCUCUAGAACCACUGUCUCCAGGGAAGAGAAGAGCUGUUCAGCCUGGGUGGCUGGGUGUGGGUGACAGUGAUGUGGUGGUGAUGGUGGUGGUCGUGGUAGUGAUAGUGGUAGCCAUGGUGGUGGCAAUUGUGGUGAUGGUUGUGAAGGUGGUGAUGGUGGUGGUGAAGGUGGUGUGAUAGUGAUGGUAAUAGCCGUGAUGGUGGUGAUGAAAGUGGUGGCCAUGGUGAUGGUAGUAGUGGUGAUGGUGAUGGCAAUGGUGGUGGUGGUGAUGGUGGUGAUGGCAAUGGUGGUGGUGGUGAUGGUAGUGGUGAUGAUGAUGGUGGUGAUGGUGAUGGUGGUAAAGGUGGUGGUGAAGGUGGUGAUGGCAGUAGCGAUGAUGGUGGUGGUAAUGGU